AUGGCAGAGAGCAAGGCUGCCUACAAGCGGCACAGAUGGAGAAUGAGGAAAAAGAAAAGAGUGCCAGGGAGACACAUGAGUGAGGAGCCAGCCCAGAAACGCCUGUGCCUGAAGAACGCUUUCUGGCGAGGUGGGAGCUCCCGUGAAGGCAGCCGCUUAGUUUCCGCUGCAGGACCCACACGCCCUGCUUCUCCUUUUGGGGGUGAGGGCUCAGGUGGGGUCAUUGUCAUGUUUCCUGGAAACACUUCCAAGCACUUGUGAAGAGAACAGUUGUCCCGCUGGGGGGCACGACCCCAUUUUUCUCAGGUACCCUAGCUGAAUGGCUCUUGGCUGGACCCGUGUGAAUGGUGGAGCUCAGGCCCCUCCACUGACUGUGGACUUUGCCCCCCACUGAUGUCUUGGUUACUUUUAACUGUGAAGAUGAGCCUACAAGGCAAAUGGGCCAGCUCCCCCUCCCACCUUGAGUUGGUGUGAAGGCUUUGUUUUUCUUUCCUUAGAGAAAAGUACCAACAAUAGCAUUUUAGAAUGGGAGCUGUAAGUGCUGAGGAGAGCAGAGAUUUUCGGGCAAUGUCUUCAUGGCUCAAUAAAGCAGUACCUGAGAUCUGCUUUAAGAAAAGAAGCCUUUAUUUGCACUUUUUGGAACUUCCUUCGUUCUUUUUGCUCAUUUAAAUUGUUUAUUGUGAACUAGAUAACUUCUUUAGUAAGCUAAAUUUCUAUGUAAUCUUACUCCUCUAACAUUUGAAGUGUGACCCUCAAACUUUCCGGUUGAUUUCUUUCUCUCUUUUCUUUCCUUUUCUUUUUGAAAACCUCACUCUGUCACCCAGGCUGAAGUGCAGUGGUGCAGUUUUUGCUCACUGCAACCUCUGCCUCCUAAGUUCAAGCAAUUCUCCUGCCUCGGCGUCCCAAGUGGCUGGGAAUACAUGUGCCUGCCACCAUGCCUGACAAAUGUUUCCUUUUGUGUUUUUAGUAGAGACAGAGUUUCACCAUGUUGGUCAGGCUUGUCUGUAACUCUUGACCUCAGGUGAUCUGCCCACCUCAGCCUUCCAAAGUUCCGGGAUUAGAAGUGUGAGCCACCUCACCCGACCCCCAUUUAAUUCCUACAGCGCUUACCUUUUCUCAUGACUGUUAGUCUCUUUAUGUUCAUUUCUGUUCAUAAAUAUUGGCAAUGCCUGGUGAGAUGUGGAGGUUAGAUUCACUAUGAAUCCACAGGAUUUUAAAUGCCCCAACAGCUGAAGAAAAGGAGC
rnacentral:lncRNA from 1 species